rnacentral:rRNA from 1 species
AACUCUUGGCAAUGGAUCUCUUGGUUCUCGCAUCGAUGAAGAGCGUAGCAUAGUGCGAUAAUUAUUGCGACUUGCAUUCAUAGCGAAUCAUCGAGUUCUCGAACGCAUCUUGCGCCUUGUAGUCAAUC